CAGCGGCAGACGGGUGAGUAACGCGUGGGAACGUACCUUUUGGUUCGGAACAACCCAGGGAAACUUGGGCUAAUACCGGAUAAGCCCUUACGGGGAAAGAUUUAUCGCCGAAAGAUCGGCCCGCGUCUGAUUAGCUUGUUGGUGAGGUAACGGCUCACCAAGGCGACGAUCAGUAGCUGGUCUGAGAGGAUGAUCAGCCACAUUGGGACUGAGACACGGCCAAACAUCUUACGGGAGGCAGCAGUGGGGAAUAUUGGACAAUGGGCGCAAGCCUGAUCCAGCCAUGCCGCGUGAGUGAUGAAGGCCCUAGGGUUGUAAAGCUCUUUUGUGCGGGAAGAUAAUGACGGUACCGCAAGAAUAAGCCCCGGCUAACUUCGUGCCAGCAGCCGCGGUAAUACGAAGGGGGCCUUUUUUUGCUCGGAAUCACUCCCCCCCAACGGGUGCGUAGGCGGGUCUUUAAGUCAGAGGUGAAAGCCUGGAGCUCAACUCCAGAACUGCCUUUGAUACUGAGGAUCUUGAGUUCGGGAGAGGUGAGUGGAACUGCGAGUGUAGAGGUGAAAUUCGUAGAUAUUCGCAAGAACACCAGUGGCGAAGGCGGCUCACUGGCCCGAUACUGACGCUGAGGCACGAAAGCGUGGGGAGCAAACAGG
rnacentral:rRNA from 1 species